UCCUUGCUGCAAAAUCCGUGAGAGAGGUGAAGUUGAGAGCUGCUGGAGUUUCAAGCAGGCAAGAAGGGUAUUGGGUGCUGCAUCCGGAGGAGUAAAGACCUUUACUGCAAAUCUUUUGGAGAAAGAUCCAAGGAAGUCUUCAAGAGUUUCUUGAAGAUAUAGCAAGACACAAGGGACCAAUCUAAUAAAAGUAGAUAGUGUUACGUAAUGGAUUCUGUGCGUGUGUAUGUGUCUACCAUCCGCCCAUGCUUCUGUGUGUGUGCCCAUCCCUCCACUUCCACUUCUUCCUACAAAACCCAUCUCAGAUUCAUUCUUCCCUCGCUCCCUCCGCUGCGCUCUCUACAUCACCGGUUGCCUCCGCCCCUCUCCGCUCUCUCCUCCCCUCAAACUCAAACCAGGGACCAAGAACAAGAAGAAGGAAACGACAAUCCUUCUUCCGUCUCCAUGGACCGCAAAGUUCGUCUGCAAGUUCGAUUAGAUCACCAGGCAGCAGCAAGCAAACAGCACCAGGGAAGCUCUGUAAUCGGUUACAACUUCACGUAACCGAUUACAGGAAACCAUGCAUUUCUUCAGUUUUCUGUAACCGCAACACCCAGCCUUGUAACCGGUUACGCACUGUUCACCAUCUUCUCCAACACGCACUUGGACUUUGUUCACCAUGUAAUCGGUUACCCUUAACCAUAAUCGAUUAUGUGCUGCAGCCCUUUUCAUUUCCAUAGGAUUCAGAUUGAUAUUUAAUUUAAAGUUAAGGGCACACUGGACAUUUCAGUUAAAAUCAUCGCAAAUCUCCUCACUUUUGCGAGUGAUGAAAAAGCGAGGUAUCCUGCAAAUCCGUCCGCGCAAAUCGUCGCUGAUCAUCUCAAACGAACAUCACCAUUUGCUUAAAUCAUCGCUCUGUAAUUCGCAUGAACAGUAAAUUCCGUUCAUGCGAACACAGCCUAAGAUCACCACCGUUUCAUCUCCUCCGAUCACGAUUCCGACACCAUAGAAGGACUACUGGUGACAAGGGCUUCAAGAAGAACCGUUCGGUUUGUGAAACUGGACCGUUUGGUUUAACGAGCGAAGGAACUGUGGUAGAGAGGUUGUGUUUCUGCAUUGAGAACGUCCGGUCACAUUUUAGAGGAAAAAGUAUGGAGAAUAAAGAAUGCGGAAUAAGAGAGAUGGAGAUGCCACAAUCUAAUCUAGCACAAUGAUAAGUUAAGUGAAGAUUCGCCACAAAUAUCUUAGUCUUUGAUAAGAAUUAAAGUUCUAAUACAAGAACGAAUAGAAUCUUUUCUCAAAAAAUACAAAUGCAUAAUAUAAUAUGACUCAAGUGUUUACAUCAACUUUUAGUAUCUCUAUAUAUAGGUAUAUAAGUUUAAAAAUACCUCGAAAUCCUAAAAUAACGUCCACAACACAAAAAUCACAGAAAAUGAAAGAUGCAAACUUUCACUUAGGAAAGCCCACUCGCCUAACAAACACUGAUUGGGUCGCCCAACAAAUUUAACAUUUUGUAAAAUUAAAAUAAAAUUAAAAUUUAUUUAAUUUCUUAAAUUAUUCUAUAAUUGUGUUCAUGAUCUUCAUGUUUUUUAUUUUCCUCCUUCGUGUUAUCUUUGACCUUGUCAUAGAUCCUUUGAAUGACAAAUGUUCUUCCUCAAAUUCUUCUCAUAUAUGUUUAGGAGAUAAUACUUUAUCAUACCCUCUUUCUUGAAGAGAAUUUAUUCUCAAAUUUGUACCACUUGAAGAUUCCUUAUCACGUGAAGUGUGGCCUAGGACCAAACAACAAACGGAACCGUAGAACUAACAGCUCAAACCUAUUACUAAGAAUAUCAAUCUUUGACUGGGUUUGUCUGUGUACUGGGCUGACAGCCCAACAGAAUGCUACUGCAGUUUUAUUUUAUCAUAAUUGUAAAAGUGCAACAUGUUGCUUUAGAGAAUGGAAGUUCUAUUUAUGUUUUCAACUAAUUCUUUAUUU